GGGGAAUUAGCUCAGAUGGUAGAGCGCUCGCUUAGCAGUUGCACAUCUAACGAAAGCAAAUGAAAUGUGAGAGGCACGGGGAUCGAUACCCCGAUUCUCCA